rnacentral:rRNA from 1 species
GACAGAGGGUGCAAACGUUGUUCGGAAUUACUGGGGCGUAAAGCGCGUGUAGGCGGCUAAGUAAGUCGGGCGUGAAAUCCCACGGCUCAACCGUGGAAGUGCACUCGAAACUGCAUAGCUAGAGUCCUGGAGAGGAAGGUGGAAUGCUUGGUGUAGAGGUGAAAUUCGUAGAUAUCAAGCGGAACACCGGUGGCGAAGGCGGCCUUCUGGACAGUGAC